AGAGUUUGAUCCUGGCUCAGGAUGAACGCUAGCGGUGUGCCUAAUGCAUGCAAGUCGAACGGUAGCCUUUGGACUCGUCUGAAGGUGAGAGUGGCGAACGGGUGAGUAACACGUUGGUGACCUACCCCAAAGAGAGGGACAACCAUUGGAAACGAUGGCUAAUACCUCGGAUGUACUACUAUUUAGAAAGGUAGUACUAAAGCUCCGGCGCUUUGGGAGGGGCCUGCGGUCCAUCAGCUAGUUGGUAAGGUAAUGGCUUACCAAGGCAAAGACGGAUAGGGGGCGUGAGAGCGUGACCCCCCACACUGGUACUGAGACACGGACCAGAUACCUGCGGGUAGCAGCAGCAAGGAAUAUUGCGCAAUCGACGAAAGUCGGACGCAGCAACACCGCGUGAAGGAUGAAGGCUUUCGGGUCGUAAACUUCUUUUCUGGGGGAAGAGAAAGGACGGUACCCCAGGAAUAAGUCUCGGCUAACUACGUGCCAGCAGCCGCGGUAAAACGUAGGAGGCGAGCGUUAUCCGGAUUUAUUGGGCGUAAAGCGCAUGCAGGCUGUUUUCUAAGUCGGACGUGAAAGCUCCUGGCUCAACUGGGAGAGGCC
rnacentral:rRNA from 1 species